rnacentral:rRNA from 2 species
AGAGUUUGAUCAUGGCUCAGAACGAACGCUGGCGGCAGGCUUAACACAUGCAAGUCGAACGCACCUUCGGGUGAGUGGCAGACGGGUGAGUGACGCGUGGGAACGUGCCCUUCAGUUCGGAAUAACCCAGGGAAACUUGGGCUAAUACCGGAUACGUGCGAGAGCAGAAAGAUUUAUCGCUGAAGGAUCGGCCCGCGUCUGAUUAGCUAGUUGGUGGGGUAAUGGCCCACCAAGGCGACGAUCAGUAGCUGGUCUGAGAGGAUGAUCAGCCACAUUGGGACUGAGACACGGCCCAAACUCCUACGGGAGGCAGCAGUGGGGAAUAUUGGACAAUGGGCGCAAGCCUGAUCCAGCCAUGCCGCGUGAGUGAUGAAGGCCUUAGGGUUGUAAAGCUCUUUCGGCGGGGACGAUAAUGACGGUACCCGCAGAAGAAGCCCCGGCUAACUUCGUGCCAGCAGCCGCGGUAAUACGAAGGGGGCUAGCGUUGUUCGGAAUCACUGGGCGUAAAGGGCGCGUAGGCGGCUUGAUAAGUCGGGGGUGAAAGCCUGUGGCUCAACCACAGAAUUGCCUUCGAUACUGUCUGGCUUGAGACCGGAAGAGGUAAGUGGAACUGCGAGUGUAGAGGUGAAAUUCGUAGAUAUUCGCAAGAACACCAGUGGCGAAGGCGCUCUACUGGACGGCAACUGACACUCAGGGACGAAAGCUAGGGGAGCGAAUGGGAUUAGAUACCCCUGUAGUCC